GAUUUUUCUUUACCUAGUAACAGAAGGGUUUGACAUAUGAAGAGCCAAUCAUAUUGUAGAAUGCUUUACCAUGCUCUUAUUCUAUAUAAACUGUUGUAUUCUUUUUGCUGGUGGGAUUCUCUGUGAUUGGUAUGAGGUCCUCCGGCCGUGAUUAAAGCAUAUUCUAAGGCGUCUGGAGUCUGUAUGGGGUUUUGCUGUGCAGCAGGUUAGUGGGACACUAGAGAUCUAUUUCCCAGGUUUUAGUGUCAAAAAGGGUCAAGACGUUGACCGACUCAGCCGACAUCGACUGGAGACACGCUAGAGUAUAAUUUGUCAAUGAAGGCAUUUCAACGUAGGCAUUUCAGGGCGUCGAUUUGAGACGACCCACGUAAACUUAAGUCAGGUGCGUAGGGGAAAAUCUACCACAAUUAUUAUAAAUAAUUAUAAAAUGGUAAUUUAGCUUUAAAAAGUCUAACUUAUGACUUACAAUGCCUGGAUGUUACAUUCAUGUCUGGCUGUUUCUGUUUGCUGUAUUUGCAGAAGACAUUCUUGAAGUUAACGUGGAGACGGGCUUAUAUAGACGUGUUGAACUCACUGGAAUGUUACUUCAUCAAGAUGCUGUUAAGUCAGUGGAAUGGACCAAACUAAAACCAAACAGAUCACAAGUAUGUCUUAUAUUUGUAAACAGUGGUAGCAGUAGUAUCAAAUGCUACAAUGACUGCUGUGGAAAGGCUCAUUUCUAUUUGAACAAUAACACCCUCAUUCUGGAGAACGUGACAGCACAGGAUGAAGGAGUCUUCAAGGAAACUAUAGUUAGAAGGAACGGAACCCAAAAAUCCCAAAACUUUACAUUAAUUAUUCAAUACCCACCAAUUGCAACAGAAAUAGCGGUCUCAUGGAACUCCAGCACAUCUGUGACUCUCAAAUGUGAAGUGAGCGGGUCAUUUCUGCUUCUGAUGUGGAAGAGAGAAAGAGUCCCCGUUCUAGAGAAACACAGACACUCAUUCAGUGAGAGGAAUCAAACUCUACACAUCAGCAACAUAACCAGUUCAGAUUACGGGACGUACAGCUGUAUUGUUUCAAAUGCGUAUGGAGAAUCAGAACAGCACAUAAAUAUUACUGGGCAAAGAGCAGAAAAUGGCAGAACUACAGAUGAAGGGGAUGCAGAUAACACCCUUGUAAUUUAUCAGGAAGUGCCUGACUUUCAACAGGUGACUCCUUUGCCAUACGUCUACACAGACUUCAUUAAGCUGAAAGAGCCCAAUCAGGCCUCCGCUGCAACGCAACACUUUGAGGACUUUGGUUACUCUGAGGUUGGACCCACAUGCAGGGCAGAUCCAGUUCUUCAGUAUUGUGAUGCUGGAGAGGAAUGACAACUAAUAUAAGAGACUACAAAACACAUUGGACUUAAAACAGUCAGCGAAUACUAACACACUUUCAUAUUCAUGAAUCUGUGCAGCGCAACUUACAAGAGCAUCAGAGUCAGACGAGCAGGGGGAAAAUACAUGUUUACAUCCUCAUCAACCACCAGAUGGCAGCGAAAAACAGCUGAAAGCAGCAGUUUGACCAUGUACAACCAUAAUUGUUUCUGAUCCUUGAAAAAAACACAAGUAGCAACAAUUUGGAUGGACAAUCUUCUGAAUAAUCGUUUCAAUUACAUUCAAUAAGCAUCAUUCUGAAAAAGAACAGAAGAAACUUGUUUUCUUUCUUGCACUUGGUACUGGAUAAGUAUGAACGCCCAGGGCCGGUUCUAUACCUUUUGAAGACCCUGGGCAAAAUUUGUGGAGGCCCCAUGCACCACAUUCCUCUUAAUAAAAAGCACUUUUUAUUAAAAAAUGUGUAUAUUUUUACUGAUAUGUCCAUAUUAAUCAAACUUUAACUAAGGUAAUCUCUUAAUUGUUUGUGGAGGAUGCUACCAUUUUUUUUUUUUUUUUGCAGUAAUUUGUUCAGUAAUUUAUUUACAGUUCCUGGACACCACUUCAGUAAAUGAACAUCAGAGUUUUCAACAUUUUUUCCUAGCUGGGUAUGGACACAAUUUCCCCCUCCGUUUGAACCAUUAGAUACACUGUAAAAAAAAAAAAUCCAAAUUUUACGGAAAAUAACUGAUUUUUUUUUUUUUUUUUACGGUCAUUUUCUUUUAUUUUAAAUUAUACUCAAAACUCUGUAAAAUUACAAACAAUGUAUGUAAAUUAACAACUCGGCUGUUAUUUUAUGUAUUAUGACUUUAAUGAAAAAUUACAGUAAUUCAUAUAUUUUUUACAGAAAAUGUACUGUAUUUUUUAUACAGUAUUUUUUCUGUUUUCUUAAAUUACAAACAAAUGUAUGUAAAAUUACAAAAAUAAUCAGUAAUUAAACAGUAACAAAACAGUUAAAUGAUAAAACGGUCAAAUUAAUGGAAGCCAAAAACCCUGUAAAAUUAAAGUAAAAUAUCCUAAUUUAAAUAAACCGUUAUUUUACAGGUAUUUCCUGAAUUAUUACCUUCACUUUAAAAAAAAAAAAAUCCUAAAAAAACAAAAAAACAAAACAAAAAAACGGUCAAUGACUGGCAGCUACGGCUGCCAAACAAAAACCAUAAAAUUAAUGUAAAAUAUUCUAAUUUAAAUAAAGUGCAAAAAACUUUAAGAAAAAAUUUCUUUAAAUGUAAAAAAAACACUGUUAUUUUACAGGUAUUUCCUGAUUUGAUUCAAAUGACUGACAACAGCAGAACAUCAGACACAAACAGAUCUCUCAAGAUCUCAGCAUCUUCAUUUAUUACAGUCUAGACUUUAUUUCUUUUAUACAAAGGUUCUUAUUGAGAAUUAACAAAGAUUUAGAUGUUGAUGUUUUAUUGAAAAAAAAAAAAAAGUUCGAUGUCACCAUUAUGGAGGUGAGCGUUUGCUUUAGUUGGGCUCCUGACCCUUGACUUUUUCCAUGUUAGUUUUUCUCUGAAUGUGUUUUGUUAAUAUCAAUUCAGGACAUAUGAAUAAAACAAGUGUUUUGUUCUGUAGAAAUGUUUUGCACUUUAUUUAAAUUAAGAUAUUUUACAUUUAUUUUACAGACUUUGAUUGGCAGCCUUUGCUGAAAGUCAUUUGACCUUUUUUUUUUUUUUUUUUAAGAUUAUGUUUUGCAGUGAAGGUGUUUUAUUGUAAUAAUUCAGGGAAUACCUGUAAAAUAACAGUGUUUUUCUGUAGAAACAUUUUAAUGAAAAUUUAUGUUAAAGUUUUUUACACUUUAUUUAAAUUAGAAUAUUUUACUUUCAUUUUAAGGUUUUUGUUUGGCAGCCGUAGCUGACAGUCACAGUCAUUUUUUUACGAUUUAUUUUUUUACAGUGUAUGUAUGACAGUCAUUAAUGGGUAGGAUGGAAACUUACGAUCUCUCAUAGAUAAGAGGUGAUAGAUAAAUGACUUUCAGAGGUAUUGGGAGAGCACAAGUGGUUUGUCUUGCAUGACAAACUCUGUUAAAGAUAACAGGGUAGCCCUGCCUUCUUCCUUGUUCUACCAACUUUUGAUUUCCUGUUGUGCUUUAAAGUGGCUAUUUUUUUUAACUGAGGCAACUGUUUCGAGAGCAUUAAAGCACAUCAUAUAAAGUACAUCUACAGAUUAGAAUGGUUUCAUUAAUGGUUAUAAAUUAUAAUAAAAUGGUAAUUUAGCUUCAAAAAGUCUAACUUUUGACCUACGAUGCCUGAAUGUUACAUUUAUGUCUGGCUGUUGCUGUUUGCUGUAUUUGCAGAAGACAUUCCUGAAGUUAAAGUGGAGACGGGCUUAUAUAGUCGUGUUAAUCUCACUGGAAUGUCACUUCAUCAAGAUGCUGUUAAGUCAGUGCAAUGGACCAAACUAAAACUAAAUCAACCAGAAUUAUGUCUAUUGUUUGUAAACAAUAGUACCAAUGGUACCAAAUGCUACAAUGACUGCUGUGGAAAGGUUCAUUUCUAUUUGAACAAUAACACCCUCAUUCUGGAGAACGUGACAGCACAGGAUGAAGGAGUCUUCAAGGAAACUAUAGUUAGAAGAAAUGGAACUAUAAAAUCCCAAAACUUUACAUUAAUUAUUCAGUACCCACCAAUUGCAACAGAAAUAGUGGUCUCAUGGAACUCCAGCACAUCUGUGACUCUCAAAUGUGAAGUGAGCGGGUCAUUUCUGCUUCUGAUGUGGAAGAGAGAAAGAGUUCCCAUUCUAGAGAAACACAGACACUCAUUCAGUGAGAGGAAUCAAACUCUACACAUCAGCAACAUAACCAGCUCAGAUUACGGGACGUACAGCUGUAUUGUUUCAAAUGCAUAUGGAGAAUCAGAACAGCACAUGUAUAUUACAGGUGACUCCUUUGCCAUUCGUCUACACAGACUUCAUGAAGCUGAAAGAGCCCAGUAAAGACUUUGGUUACUCUAAGUUUGGAUCAACAUGCAGGGUGGAAACAGUUGUUCAGUAUUGUGAUGAAUAGUCCACAGCGUGACCUGAUGCUGGAGAGGAAUGACAACUAAGCAUGUUGGAGUUAAAACAGCGAAUAUUCAUGAAAAAAACGAAUAUUCAUGAAUCUGGUGCAGCGCAACUUACCAGAGCCAGAAGUCAGAGUCAGAAGAAAUUUUCCACUGUUCCUUUAGCCACUGGAUUUUAGAUAUGACCAUUUCAAGAUGUCAAUUAGGAAAAGACCUUUAAAAUCUCCUGACACUUUUGUAUCACCAAUACAUUUAGGGAGGUAUCAUUUAAAAUUGUUCAUACUGGUGUAGAAUACUGGUGACUUCAAAAUUUGGUUUAUCUUUAUCCACAAAUGUAGAUGGGAAGUGAAAACAAAAACUAAUUUUAAAACAGAAAUAGGUCACUACUUGUAUACAUUAAAAGAAACAACAAAUAACAAAGCGAAAUCUUUAAUCUAGUCUUUGAAUAAUUUGUACCUCUUUGUACUUGUUUAUAGAUAUGUGAAUUUCUUACUGCUUUCUCUUCUCUUAUUUUAUUUUAAUUAUAUUUGUUUAUCAUAAUAUAUGAUUUGAUGUAAUUAUUACUGCCCUUCAUGUUCAUUGUUCAAAAGAUUGCAAUAAAAAAGGUUUACAUGCUGA